rnacentral:rRNA from 1 species
GACGUAGGGCGCGAGCGUUGUCCGGAUUUAUUGGGCGUAAAGAGCUCGUAGGCGGCUUGUUGCGUCGGCUGUGAAAACCCAUGGCUCAACCGUGGGCUUGCAGCCGAUACGGGCAGGCUAGAGUUCGGUAGGGGAGACUGGAAUUCCUGGUGUAGCGGUGAAAUGCGCAGAUAUCAGGAGGAACACCGAAGGCGAAGGCAGUGUCCUGGCGCGUAACUGACGCUGAGGUGCGAAAGCCAGGGGAGCGAACGGG